rnacentral:rRNA from 1 species
GGCGGCGUGCCUUAGGCAUGCAAGUCGAACGGUUGAGGUCGCAAGACCAAGACAGUGGCAGACGGGUGAGUAACGCGUAGGAAUCUACCCCUGGGUAAGGCAUAGCCCCGCGAAAGCGGGGGUAAUACCUUAUAGUUCUCUGAAAAGAGUAAAGGACUUAACGGUCCGCCGAGGGAGGAGCCUGCGUCCUAUCAGCUAGUUGGUGAGGUAAUGGCUUACCAAGGCGAUGACGGGUAGCUGGACUGAGAGGUCGAUCAGCCACAACUGCACUGAGACACGGGCAGUACACCUACGGGUGGCAGCAACCAGGAAUAUUGCGCAAUGGACGAAAGUCUGACGCAGCGACGCCGCGUGGAGGAAGACGGCCUUAGGGUUGUAAACUCCUUUUACCAAGCCGUUCACAGCUUGGAGAAUAAGCCUCUACUAACUACGUGCCAGAAGUCUCGGUAAUACGUAGGAGGCGAGCGUUAUCCGGAUUUAUUGGGCGUAAAGUGUGCGUAGGCGCCCCAUUAAGUCGUGCUUUAAAUACUAAGGCUUACCCUUAGAGCUGAGUACGAUACUGUUGGGGUUGAGGAUUGACAGGGCAGCUGGAACAGUACGUGUAGCAGUGAAAUGCGUUGAUAUGUACUGGAACACCAAGGGCGAAAGCAGGCUGCUGGGUUUUUCCUGACGCUUGAGGCACGAAAAGCUAGGGUAGCGAAACMAGAUUAGAUACCUGUGUAGUCCUAGCNGUAAACGAUGUCCGCUAACUGUCACUCGCAAAGUGCAUAAGCACUUUUGCGAGAAAUUCGAAGUACGAAUAUUGAAAGACGAAACAAAUUUAAAAUACAAAUGACUUUGAAUAUUGUUUCGUAUUUGGGAUUUAGAAUUUCGGAUUUCCGCAAAAAGCUUAAGCUUUUUGCGAGUGGCGGUUCAAGCUAACGCGUUAAGCGGACCGCCUGGGGAGUACGACCGCAAGGUUAAAACUCAAAGGAAUUGACGGGGACCCGCACAACUGGUGGAGCGUGUGGUUUAAUUCGAGACAAAGCGAAACACCUUACCAGGGCUUGACAUGCUAUCGUUUUAUACCUUUUGAAAGAUUGGUAGAUCCGCAAGGAUGAUAGCACAGGUGAUGCAUGGCUGUCGUCAGCUCGUGUCGUGAGAUGUUCCCUUAAGUGGGGAAACGAGCGCAACCCCCGCGAAAUGUUACAUAUUCAUUUCGGACGGUCCCGAUCAUAUCGGGAAGGAAGGAGGGGAAGACGUCAAGUCAGCACGUCCCUUAUGCCCUGGGUUACACACACCCUACAAUGGCGAAUAACAAAGAGCAGCAAGCCGGCGACGGCAAGCAAAUCUCUAAAAUUUCGCCUCAGUUCAGAUUGCAGUCUGCAACCCGACUGCAUGAAGGAGGAAUCAGUAGUAAUCGCGAAUCAGCAG